UACGGAGGGUGCGAGCGUUUGUCCGGGAAUCAUUGGGCGUAAAGGGCGCGUAGGUGGCUUCUUAAGCGUGCGGUGAAAGCCUGGGGCUCAACCCCGGGUCGGCCGUGCGAACUGGGGGGCUGGAGCACUGUAGAGGCAGGCGGAAUUCCGGGUGUAGCGGUGGAAUGCGUAGAGAUCCGGAAGAACACCGGUGGCGAAGGCGGUCUGCUGGGCAGUUGCUGGACACUGAGGCGCGACAGCGUGGGGAGCAAACAGGG
rnacentral:rRNA from 1 species